AAUGAUAACGAUGUGCUCGAGAAUCCCCUGGAGCUCAACUCCCCGGAAGAAGAUCAAGUCAGACAGGAGGCACCAAGACAGAACUCCGUCACAUCGGCAUUAUAUAGAUCCCAAGAAUAUCCGCGUGAUCCUAAAUAAAAUUUUGAGUGAGAAGAGGAGUAGAGUAAAUUAUUACGUCAAAAUUCCUCACCAGAGCAUAGAAGAGGAGAAAAAAGAAUCCUACUCUCCGAUAUAUAAC
rnacentral:lncRNA from 1 species